AUUGAACGCUAGCGGGAUGCUUUACACAUGCAAGUCGAACGAGUGGCGGACGGGUGAGUAAUAUAUCGGAACGUGCCCAGUCGAGGGGGAUAACUACUCGAACGAGUGGCUAAUACCGCUUACUAUUGGUGCGGCCGUUAUCGGAUUAGCUAGUCGGUGGGGUAAAGGCUCACCAGGGCUCCGAUCCGUAGCUGGUUUGAGAGGACGACCAGCCACACUGGGACUGAGACACGGCCCAGACUCCUACGGGAGGCAGCAGUGGGGAAUGUUGGACAAUGGGCGAAACCCUGAUCCAGCCAUCCCGCGUGUAUGAGAAGGCCUUCGGGUUGUAAAGUUCUUUUGUCAGAGAAGCGGUAUCUGCCGAAUAAGCAACGGCUAACUACGUGCCAGCAGCCGCGGUAAUAC
rnacentral:rRNA from 1 species